GACACAUACCUCGAGGCAGUCACAACAUUCUCAUCACUCUACACAUGCUCCAGGCACUGACCCACCUACAGAUCACUUUGUUGCUGCAGAGGAGGAGCUACGAGCUGAUCAGCUCCAUAUCACAGAUGAGGGCCAGUUGGAUUCAUUUGAGGAGGAGAUAUGAGCUGAUCAGGUACAUAUAAUAGAUGAGGGUUUGGACUCAUUUGAGGAUCAGCUGAGAGAUUUGAGCCAUACUAGAUUUAUGGACAUGCUACUACAGUCAGACACUUCAUCCACGAUGCCCACUCAUCUAGUUAGCCCCUUGCACUCCUCAGUGAUACGUACAGCUAGAGAGAGAUAUGCAGGCAUGAGUGAUGUUGUUGAUAUGAUCACGAGAUAGGAUCAGACUAUACAACCUACUCCAGGUGAUACACAGUUAGCUCAUGUCACUCCUUCCUUGAGCUCUGAGCAUGUGCGUAGGAGAGAUUCUUUAGAUGCUGUUAGUGUACAGGACUCCCCCUCAGAUGGUCGCUCAGUUCGUAGCCGACAUGAUCCCUGUUGAUUUGCUCCAAACUUUAUAGCUCAUUUACAUUUAUCUUUUUAUAUACUUUCAUAUUAUAUAUAUUC